UUUUUUUCAUAACUAAUAUAUAACAUCUCUUAUCUUUCACCUAAAUGCAGUUGUUACAACUCUUACCAAAGAGGAUAUAAUAAGGGAUAAGUGCAAUUGGACUACAGUAUAGUCUCUUUGGUAUUCAUGGAAUUAUUUGACGCUUGACACAGGUUAUUUGCUAAAACUAUUUGGAGGGUUCAUUUACACACAAUAGACAGUUGGACUGCCUAAUGUCAGCGACGCCCAGGAAGAUCAACAAACUAUUCUGCUCCUCAUGCUAACAUAAAAAGGAGAAAUAAUAGUUCAGUCCUUUUCACAAGUAGAAAAUUAUAUGUGGGCAACUUCACUUGAUAUGCAAUUCAUAUUCCUUGGUAUAAAAUGUGUUUAUGUAAGAUAGUAUUUUUUUACUUUUGAGAAG